GGCGCCCAAGAUGAACGGGGCUUUUACCAGCUCAAGAAAGGGCACGAAGCAACCGCGCGAAGCCCUCACCAUAUAGGAUUUUAUAAAGAACGCAGAGUACUAGCUUCCCUUGAAAGGGAACAUCGCGGAGCAGAGGAUGGUUUGAAAAAGUUUUGAGAAGCCCCAGCUAUAGAACAUGAUACUUGCAGUGGCGGCUUGUGGGUUUUAAAAUAGAGGAGGCACACUAAUUGUAUUGGUCUGGGGAUCCCUGCCGAUUAUUAUUAUUAUUAUUUGCUUAACCACUUUAAAAUGGCUUUUUAGUUGCUUUUAGUCAGUAAAUGACAGACAUACAGCAAGAUAAUAUCAUUUCACUUACCUGGCCUAUCACUUGAAGCAAACAUCCAUCCCUUAAGAGUCUGUGUUAAAAGAGAGCUGACUGUUGUGCCAUUUAAUUAAGCCGUGACUGCUGUAGCCUAUAUUCAGCUUAGGCGUGUCCUCCCUUUAUUUUUCAUUUUUAUAUAUACUGUUUGAAUGACAGCUUGGUAAAUCUGUUGGCGAUCAAAUAUUCAAUAUCGCUACUUAUCAUAAGUACUUGGAUUAUUAUCAGCGCAGCGCAAGAUGUUCAAACUAAUAGCACGUAAUUUACGUCUCUAUGAUGAUUGGUUGAUACUAGAAGGGAGGCUAGCCUCCUCUACGAGGUUUCUUUUCUCAACACUCCUCAGCACUGAAAGUGAACACUCGAUGCCGAUUGGUUAAUUUUUUUUUACCAACUAAGGCACGAGAGCUCAACUCUCCCCCGGCUUCCCCAUAGACAGUAAAAGAAAUGGACACAACGACCCCAUUGGAUUCAACGGAGACAAGUGAAGUCAAUUAGAAGCACGCACUUCCUGGGGUUGAGCGUACUGCGCAUGACAGCUUGAUGACGUAAAUGUCACGUGAGCAAACUGUCUGACAAUUGUAAGUCUUCUAAUAGCUGUGCCAAGAGAAAUCUGAAUCACCCACCGAAUCUUGCAGACGUUGUUGAAUAAUUUUGUCCCCUUGCUUUUAUGGACUCUCUAUGGGCUUCUCCCUUGACUUCAUGCCUCCACGUCCCCCCGAUAGCCUCAUAGACAGUAAAAGAUUGCCUGCGAGCUUCUCCUCCUGUCCAUACGGUAAUUUCUCUACUGUGCGACAGAGAGUCGCAGGUUAUGAUGCAAUCUAGGGCUGAACGAUAUAUCGUUAUCGUAUCUAUAUCUAGAUAUGAACUUUCAAGAUAUUACUAUCGAAAAAAGCAACGAUAUAGACGAUAUAGAUUUCCCCUCUCCGCGCUCGCCCUGCAUACAACUCUGGCAGUCACAACAAACAUCAGUUUUACGAGUGCCCUUGAAUGCACCGCUAAAGCCAGCGCGCACACAUUACCAGGGACGUGGAAACUAUAUUGUGAGGGGGGGGCGGUGUUUCCAUGGUGACGCGUCAUUGCUUGUCACGUGACACACCGCAGCAUCAACAGCGCUGAAUGAAUGAUGAUCUGCUUUUAUGUCAUUUUUCCUUUUUUAUUCAGAAUAUUCACAAAUGUGUUAGCUAUGGCAUGAAAUAUCUGAUAUUCCGAUUGUCAAAUACAUGCAAGUGGAAGUAUAUUGUUUUUUAAACACCUUUAUAAUGAUCGCGUUAGUUGAGCUGUAUGCGCGAUGGGCGCCGCCAUCUUAGUUUGUGCCGCAGACGCAGUUCAAUCGGAUCUGUUGGAUUUACAACCUCUAUGUUUACAACACGUGAAUUCAUCCACUUCUCCCGAAAUACUUAAAAGUAAGUGGCUGGUGAACUGGGAAUAGAAUAGAGUAAACAUUGAAGUUACUUACACAAUGUGUAUCUGAUAUGAAUAAAACGUGUCGAAUUAUAAUGGAAAGGAUUAUUAUUACCUCUUCCAUAGACAUCCUGUCUGAAGCCAGACAUGGUUAACAAGCUAGUGUUCCUGGCAAAGAAUCUGUAGAAGUUGUGCUGCCUGUAACUACCUCUGUUCUGUUAGUAGCAAAUGCAUUUUCUGCAUACAGUUAUGUGAUCUUUUGAAGAAUAUAAAUGUUGUUGCACUUCAAUGCACUUUCAAUGUUCCACCAGCUGCUGCAUUUGUUAUUUAUUGUUAAAGCAGAGCUGCAGUAAAAGGUUUGAUUUGUAAUUUUUUUUUUGGUAAUUUAUGUUAAUGUUGAUGACUUGUUCUUAAAAAUAAAACUAUACUUUCCACAUUUUUUUGUAUUAUGAUCUUUUUAUUUUUCUGAGAAAUGCUUGGUUUUCACCGAACACGUAGUCAUAUCGUAUUGUAUCAAUAUCGAGAUAUCUGGCAUGAAAAUCGAGAUAUGAAAUUUUGUCCAUAUCGUUCAGCCCUAAUGCAAUCGUUAGCCUAUUUUUACAAAAACUGCUUCUACGGGGCCAUAACGUAAGAUACAAGGUAAUGGAGCCCUUUAUACAUUGUCGUGUAUCUUUAGAAAUAAAUAAUGGACAAAUGGAGUCUUUAAACGCCUCAGAUGUAAAGUUAUUCGCUGUCAAAGUGACGCAAAAAUGAAUGGGAGUCAAUGGGAUGCUAACGCAAACAGUAAAAGAAAUGGACACAGCGAC
ensembl:lncRNA